UCUUUGGCUCCAUUCUCGUGGAAGAGGCAAGUUUUAAAAUACUUUACCAUUGAGCACAUAAGUAAUAAGAGAACCCCUUAUUUACUCAUUCAAUAGCUCCCUCUAAUUGUAGGUUAGAAAUGCCUUCAGAAGACGCAAAACCAGUGAAGAAGGAAGAAAUUGAAGACGACGACGAUGAUGAGAAGCCAAUUUCUCAAGUACGCAACAACAUAAACAAGAAAAAACCCGAUUUCUCCUUCUUCUGCAACCCCAAAACAAAAAUCAAAAGUGAAGAAAGAAGAAUCAAGUGACGAUGAUUUUUCUUCAAAAAAACCCACCAAAUCCACUCCUAAACCAACUAAACCCAAAAAGGAGGACAACAAGCAAAAAAUUAAGAAGAUAAAAAAAGAGGAGAAGGUAAAGGUUGAAGCGAAGAAGAGAGAGAAAAAGAUGUACGAUUUUCCUGGCCAGAAACGCGACCCUCCUGAACAAAGAGAUCCUUUGAGAAUUUUCUAUGAAACAUUGUAUCAGCAAAAGCCCACCAGUGAAUUGGCUGCAGUUUGGUGAAGGUUAGGACAUAGUAUAUGGCACAUUGUGGUAUGCUUAUGCGUUUAACCUUUAAUGACCAUCCUUUCCUUUUUCUGAGGAUGCUGCUGCUGCUUGAGGUCAAAAAGCUUGAUAAUGAUUCCAUACCUACAAUGUUAAUAGAGGAUGAUGGAAUCUGGUUUGCUUCCAUUAAAAGAGGCGAAGCAGGUCUAUGAGAACAAAAUGAAGAAGAAGAACCAGAAAAUUACUUCCCCGGUAAAACAUGUUAAGACAGUAAAGGAGACUAAAUCCGUGACUGUUAAGAAAAAAGUAGUUGCUUCCACCCCAAAAUCAUCGAGUACUAAGAAAACAGAAACCUCCACUGUGAAAAAACAAUCGAGGAAACGUAAAGCUGAAAGUUCUGAAGAAAAUUCAAGCUCAGAGGAAGACUCUGAAGAAGAUUAUGCAUUAUCAAAUAGGAAGGUUGCUAAGAAAGCCAGAGUCAAUUAACUCAUUAAAUUAGUUUUAUGAGGUUAAGAGAUGAAACAUUUGAUACUUACCCUGAUUUGUACUGAUUUGUUUAUGAGAAAUGUUGCUUGACAAUGCA